GCCAGACUCCUACGGGAGGCAGCAGUGGGGAAUAUUGGGCAAUGGGCGCAAGCCUGACCCAGCAACGCCGCGUGAAGGAAGAAGGCUUUCGGGUUGUAAACUUCUUUUCUCAGGGACGAAGCAAGUGACGGUACCUGAGGAAUAAGCCACGGCUAACUACGUGCCAGCAGCCGCGGUAAUACGUAGGUGGCAAGCGUUAUCCGGAUUUACUGGGUGUAAAGGGCGUGUAGGCGGGAAAGCAAGUCAGAUGUGAAAACCAUGGGCUCAACCUGUGGCCUGCAUUUGAAACUGUUUUUCUUGAGUACUGGGGAGGCAGACGGAAUUCCUAGUGUAGCGGUGAAAUGCGUAGAUAUUAGGAAGAACACCAGUGGCGAAGGCGGGUUACUGGACGACAACUGACGGUGAGGCGCGACAUCGUGGGGAGCCAACAUGAUUAGAUACCCCAGUA
rnacentral:rRNA from 1 species